GACAGUAUGACGUCACGCCGUGGUUCAGCGAUUUCACAAUGGUGGCCAAGAGGAAAGAGUAAACGCUCGUGUUUAUCUUCCCGUUUUCCCCCAAAAAAUCUCAAAGAUAUUGCUUUAUGAACCAGUCAUAUGGGUAAAGGAGUCCUUCGAAGAUGUUUCUUCACUUACUUUGAUGCUUUUAACGAAAAAGAGCUUUAGUUAUUGAAUUUUUCUUUGCGAAAUACCUUUCCAAAAGCCACUCGAAAAAAGACGACACACAAGAAUAUUUUAAGACCUUGAUGACUUAAAGAUUUGAUCUAUGGCAUCACAAAAGGAGGUUAAGGAACCUAGGUAUUCAUCUUUGUAUUUGCGGAGUUUCGUGAAGAAACCUUCUGCACAACUGCUCAUCAAUCUGUUUGAAGUUGGAAAAACGUUUCCUUGGGUUUGACACCAUGUUUUGCACAAAUCAUAAGUCAACAAGGCAGACUAGACUUGCAAAAGGUUGGGCAAGCUCAUAUUUAAUUUUGGUUCUUUUUAGAAUUCAAAUGUUAACUGGCGUGUUUCGCGGUUAAAUAUAUGAAGUUUAAUAAAUAGGAAAGGAAAGUGUAUUCGAAAGUUGUUGUGGUUGUUUUUCAUAAUUCGAGCGAUUUCUAAGUAUCAACAAGUAGAUAUCAAUGUCAUUGAAAUUUUCCUGUGAUGCAUAAUUUUUUCAUAAUCUCUAUGAUUGCUACACAAGUUGUUAUAUCAGGACCAGAGUGUUAUGUCAGGGCUCCCACUUAACACUCAGAGAUGCAGGCAGAGAUGAAAACAACUGAGCAACAAAGACAAACAUUCAUACAAAAUAGAUGAUUUAACCAUAAACUAUUACUAGAUUUAAAAUAAGAAGUCAAGCAAAUAAAAGGACAUGGGGAAAAGACAA